AUUGAACGCUGGCGGCAGGCUUAACACAUGCAAGUCGAGCGGAGAUGAGGUGCUUGCACCUUAUCUUAGCGGCGGACGGGUGAGUAAUGCUUAGGAAUCUGCCUAUUAGUGUGGGACAACAUUCCGAAAGGAAUGCUAAUACCGCAUACGCCCUACGGGGGAAAGCAGGGGAUCUUCGGACGUUGCGCUAAUAGAUGAGCCUAAGUCGGCGUAGCCAGUUGGUGGGGUAAAGGCCUACCAAGGCGACGAUCUGUAGCGUGUCUGAGAGGAUGGUCCACAACACUGGGACUGAGAGACGGCCCAGACUACUACGGGAGGCAGCAGUGGGGAAUAUUGGACAAUGGGCGCAAGCCUGAUCCAGCCAUGCCGCGUGUGUGAAGAAGGCCUUCGGGUUGUAAAGCACUUUCAGUAGGGAGGAAGGGUGUUGUGUUAAUAGCGCAGCAUUUUGACGUUACCUACAGAAGAAGCACCGGCUAACUCUGUGCCAGCCGCCGCGGUAAAAC
rnacentral:rRNA from 1 species